rnacentral:rRNA from 1 species
UACGAAGGGGGCUAGCGUUGUUCGGAAUUACUGGGCGUAAAGCGCACGUAGGCGGCUUCUCAAGUCAGGGGUGAAAUCCUGGAGCUCAACUCCAGAACUGCCUUUGAUACUGAGGGGCUCGAGUCCGGGAGAGGUGAGUGGAACUGCGAGUGUAGAGGUGAAAUUCGUAGAUAUUCGCAAGAACACCAGUGGCGAAGGCGGCUCACUGGCCCGGUACUGACGCUGAGGUGCGAAAGCGUGGGGAGCAAACAGG